GGACGAACGCUGGCGGCGUGCCUAAUACAUGCAAGUUGAGCGCUGAAGGUUGGUACUUGUACCGACUGGAUGAGCAGCGAACGGGUGAGUAACGCGUGGGGAAUCUGCCUUUGAGCGGGGGACAACAUUUGGAAACGAAUGCUAAUACCGCAUAAAAACUUUAAACACAAGUUUUAAGUUUGAAAGAUGCAAUUGCAUCACUCAAAGAUGAUCCCGCGUUGUAUUAGCUAGUUGGUGAGGUAAAGGCUCACCAAGGCGAUGAUACAUAGCCGACCUGAGAGGGUGAUCGGCCACAUUGGGACUGAGACACGGGCCAAACUCCUACGGGAGGCAGCAGUAGGGAAUCCUCGGCAAUGGACGAAAGUCUGACCGAGCAACGCCGCGUGAGUGAAGAAGGUUUUCGGAUCGUAAAACUCUGUUGGUAGAGAAGAACGUUGGUGAGAGUGGAAAGCUCAUCAAGUGACGGUAACUACCCAGAAAGGGACGGCUAACUACGUGCCAGCAGCCGCGGUAAUACGUAGGUCCCGAGCGUUGUCCGGAUUUAUUGGGCGUAAAGCGAGCGCAGGUGGUUUAUUAAGUCUGGUGUAAAAGGCAGUGGCUCAACCAUUGUAUGCAUUGGAAACUGGUAGACUUGAGUGCAGGAGAGGAGAGUGGAAUUCCAUGUGUAGCGGUGAAAUGCGUGGAUAUAUGGAGGAACACCGGUGGCGAAAGCGGCUCUCUGGCCUGUAACUGACACUGAGGCUCGAAAGCGUGGGGAGCAAACAGGAUUAGAUACCCUGGUAGUCCCACGCCGUAAACGAUGAGUGCUAGAUGUAGGGAGCUAUAAGUUCUCUGUAUCGCAGCUAACGCAAUAAGCACUCCGCCUGGGGAGUACGACCGCAAGGUUGAAACUCAAAGGAAUUGACGGGGGCCCGCACAAGCGGUGGGGCAUGUGGUUUAAUUCGAAGCAACGCGAAGAACCUUACCAGGUCUUGACAUACUCGUGCUAUUCCUAGAGAUAGGAAGUUCCUUCGGGACACGGGAUACAGGUGGUGCAUGGUUGUCGUCAGCUCGUGUCGUGAGAUGUUGGGUUAAGUCCCGCAACGAGCGCAACCCCUAUUGUUAGUUGCCAUCAUUAAGUUGGGCACUCUAACGGGACUGCCGGUGAUAAACCGGAGGAAGGUGGGGAUGACGUCAAAUCAUCAUGCCCCUUAUGACCUGGGCUACACACGUGCUACAAUGGAUGGUACAACGAGUCGCGAGACAGUGAUGUUUAGCUAAUCUCUUAAAACCAUUCUCAGUUCGGAUUGUAGGCUGCAACUCGCCUACAUGAAGUCGGAAUCGCUAGUAAUCGCGGAUCAGCACGCCGCGGUGAAUACGUUCCCGGGCCUUG
rnacentral:rRNA from 1 species